AUUUUUAUAUGUCAUGUGCAUUUUGUUUUGCUGUGUAUAUAAUGGACAAAUAAGUCCUAAAAUUGCAAUAGCUAGUCUUUAGAUGUUAAAGAGGUUGCCAGUAUAUGACAAAGUAGUAAAAUUAUCAUAUUUUGUACACUUUGUGUUGAAAUUCAUAGGAAAGCUUGUCUUGUGUAAAUGACUUUUGGAUAUGAAUUUGUUCAACCACCUCUAAAUAUUACACACACCUGCACUUGUCCACUGGAUUGGUGAUGAAGAGAAGGGAGUGAGAGGGAAUGGUUCAGGCCAACAUGGUCAUAUUUAGUAGAUUCCUCGGAUUAUAACCAUUGUUAGUUAUGUGCAGUUUUAACAGUGCUGUGCCCAUAGUGGACAAGUAAGAAUCAUAUGAAAUAUCUAGUCUUUCUAGACAUUUAGAAGUGCUUGAUGUACUUAAAAGCAGAAGUAGCAGAAUAAUGCUUCUUGUAAAUAGCUUUUAAAACCUGAUAAAAAAUAUUGUCUUUAGAAAUGGAAUUGUUAAAUCACCUCUUUGAACAGUGUACUCUAUGUACUUGUUCACUACUAGGUUGAAGAAGGUGGGAGGGAAGAAAUUGCAAAAAGAUGUUUUGCUAGUGUGUAAUAGAAAACUUUAGCUUAUCCUUUGCCGCUCUAUAUGUUACAUGCAUUUCAUUUACCUUUACUGUAUAUAUUGUGAAUAUACUGGACAAAUAGAUCCUAAUUUUAUAAUAUCUAGUCUCUAGAUAUUAAAGAGGUUGCCAAUGUAUGACAAAAGUAGAGUUAGUAAACAAACACAUUUUGUACACUUUAUGUUAAAAUUCAUAG